rnacentral:rRNA from 1 species
UGGGGAAUUUUGGACAAUGGGGGAAACCCUGAUCCAGCCAUCCCGCGUGUGCGAUGAAGACCUUCGGGUUGUAAAGCACUUUUGGCAGGAAAGAAACGUCGCGGGUUAAUACCCCGCGGAACUGACGGUACCUGCAGAAUAAGCACCGGCUAACUACGUGCCAGCAGCCGCGGUAAUACGUAGGGUGCAAGCGUUAAUCGGAAUUACUGGGCGUAAGGCGUGCGCAGGCGGUUCGGAAAGAAAGAUGUGAAAUCCCAGAGCUUAACUUUGGAACUGCAUUUUUAACUACCGGGCUAGAGUGUGUCAGAGGGAGGUGGAAUUCCGCGUGUAGCAGUGAAAUGCGUAGAUAUGCGGAGGAACACCGAUGGCGAAGGCAGCCUCCUGGGAUAACACUGACGCUCAUGCACGAAAGCGUGGGGAGCAAACAGGAUUAGAUACCCUGGUAGUCCACGCCCUAAACGAUGUCAACUAGCUGUUGGGGUCUUCGGACCUUGGUAGCGCAGCUAACGCGUGAAGUUGACCGCCUGGGGAGUACGGUCGCAAGAUUAAAA